GACGAACGCUGGCGGCGUGCUUAACACAUGCAAGUCGAACGGAAAGGCCCUGCUUUUGUGGGGUGCUCGAGUGGCGAACGGGUGAGUAACACGUGAGUAACCUGCCCUUGACUUCGGGAUAACUUCAGGAAACUGGGGCUAAUACCGGAUAGGAGCUCCUGCUGCAUGGUGGGGGUUGGAAAGUUUCGGCGGUUGGGGAUGGACUCGCGGCUUAUCAGCUUGUUGGUGGGGUAGUGGCUUACCAAGGCUUUGACGGGUAGCCGGCCUGAGAGGGUGACCGGCCACAUUGGGACUGAGAUACGGCCCAGACUCCUACGGGAGGCAGCAGUGGGGAAUAUUGCACAGUGGGCGGAAGCCUGAUGCAGCAACGCCGCGUGCGGGAUGACGGCCUUCGGGUUGUAAACCGCUUUCGCCUGUGACGAAGCGUGAGUGACGGUAAUGGGUAAAGAAGCACCGGCUAACUACGUG
rnacentral:rRNA from 1 species